rnacentral:rRNA from 1 species
AUGUUUGGAGCUUCGAGCUUAAUGGCGCAAGAUGCAGGAGUCCCAAAUGUUGACUCGCACAGCGAUUUGGAGGCAGGGAAGAAGCAAGCGCCGGCCAGACGAUCUGAGAUGGCGCGGGCUGUCUCCAUCUCCAAGGUCCGUAUGCAAUUCCGUGGUUUGGACGGCAACAGCUACACGCCGCAGUACGUGCCGAUUGGGCCGUACCAUCUAAGCUGUUCGUCCCCACGGACUGAAAAAGAGAAGCUGUGCGGUGUCUCCUUCCUCAAGAGCCUCUCGGACGAACACACUCUAGCGCGACUAGUGGAGAAGUUGGAGCCACGAGCGAGGGAGUGUUACGCCGAUGGCGUUGGCCAACUCACGCCGGAGCAGUUUUCCGGUAUGCUGCUGCGCGACGGGUGCUACCUGCUUCUUCUGUUUGUUCAUUAUGUGACAGCUGAGGCAUGCGGCAAUGGCGGCGCUUCGACGGCGGCCGGUGGGGUCUCCGACAGCGCGGUGGUGCGCGACACCGUGUUCCUUGUUGAGAACCAGAUACCUCUCUUCGUCCUUGAGAAGAUCCACGAGCACAUCGCAGGAGGCGCCGGCAUGUCCGUCCUCGAAAGCAUCGCCGUCUCUGUCCAGGAGCUUCUGCAGGCGCAGCUCUACAUCAGCAAGAAGCUGCGGCCGGCGCCGCGGCAGGCGUCCCACUUGCUCCACCUGGUGCAUCACUACUUUCAGCCAACAAACCCGCCUCCGGAAAUGGCAGAGAGCACGGCACGGCGCACCGGCCGGUGGCGCCGGGCGACGGAAUACGGCAGCCACGGAGGCAUGCGGUUCAAGCGCCGGACCUUCGUGAACGGCGAGGAGUGGACCGUCCUCGACGUGCGCCUUAAGCGAGGCACGCUGUGCGUCCCCCAUCUGCGGGUCGACAGCAACACGUGGACCGUCCUGCGUAACCUGAUGGCGCUGGAGGAGCACGUCCCACGGAGGCCCGUCACGGCGUACUGCCUCUUCAUGUCGCAGGUGGCCGGCACGGUGGAGGACGUGAAGCUACUGGUUAACGCAGGGAUCGUCGAGCACUUCCUGCCGAGUGACGAGCAGGUCGCUCAAGGCUUCGCGGACCUCUGCAAUGGGGUGGUCAUGGACGUCGACAACCUUGACCGGAACUACCUCAAGCCCAUCUGGCACAAGCUGCAGGAACGCUGCCAGAGCCGCGUGUUUAGAUUCAUGGGAUGGUUCUGCCAUGACCGGCACCUCGGUAUGGCUAUCGCGUUCCUUAUGGCUGUCGUCGUCUUGGUUUGUCAAGUGACGCAGACGUUCUAUGCAGUUACCGGCCGGAGGUGA